AAAAAUUUAAGUUAUUCCAAACUAUUGACCUUCAAAGUCAAAAAAGAAAAUUAUUCAAUUUUUA
rnacentral:tRNA from 1 species